rnacentral:rRNA from 1 species
AUAUAAGUGAGAGACCGAUAGCAAACAAGUACCGUGAGGGAAAGAUGAAAAGAACUUUGAAAAUAGAGUUAACAGUACGUGAAAUUGCUGAAAGGGAAACGUUUGAAGUUAAUUUUGUAUUCGUUGGAUCAGCUUCGCAAGGAGUGUAUUCUGAUGAUAAGCAAGUCAACAUCAGUCUAUGAGUGUUGGAUAAGGGUUUUGAGAAUGUAGCAAUUUAAUUGUGUUAUAGCUUGAGACUUGGAUACGAUGCUUUGGAUUGAGGAACGCGUAGUAAGCUUUGAGCGGAUUCGAAAGGAUCUCCUUACUAUGGAUGUUGGUGAAAUAACUUUAAGCGACCCGUCUUGAAACACGGACC